AAUUACUUCCUGGUUGCAGCCUCGAUCCUUUCACUCACCGGCUAUUUCAACUACGAGGCAGGCAUUGCCGACCCAGACAGGUUCUUUGAAGUGCCUGAAUACUGCCCUACGUACAUCGAGAAAGAACCCAAACUGCUGGAGCUGUUGAAGUACAGUCAAGUUCUGUUUUAAGAACAUCGGCAGUUCCGUCCAGAUGACUUCCUGAACCUGACCGCUGACAAAUUUGAUGUGUAAAAUCUUAAAGCGAAUACAGACCGCAUAGGUUCCUGCAUUUUGUUCACUAUACCAUAUUAAAGCUUGCGUAUAUUUUUCUUCACGUGACAUGGCCUUUCAACGAAAUGUUUCCACUUGACAAUUACUCUGUGGAUUAUUAUGGUGGAUUAAUAUAGUGCACACCCUUGAUAUUAAGAGGGGGUAACUUGCGCCAAGAAGGAAUAACCAUGUCCCUCUCGAUCAAAACAAAUUGUUGUAAAUGAUGAAAUGCCCUCGUCAGACUUUAAAGGCCCGCAUUUGGAAGCGGUUCCGGUAAUUACUUCGUAGGGGAUACAUUUAUGUGCAUUAAAUGAAAUUAUUUCUCUCAAGGCUUCAAAACCUUCAUAUUUCUGAAAAUGAUGAAAUGAUGGACUUUCGCAUUUAUACAGAGGGUGUUUACUGGCUCUUCGAAAUAAUACCAGACGGUUUCCGAGAUCAGUAAAAUUAUGGCGUGCAACAUUUAUCCCGAAAUAGAUAUAAGUCUAUCUCUAUUUUACGAUUCAAUGUAAACUUUGCUCGACUAGAAAAGAAGAUAUCUCUAUUUCGGGAUUAAAUGUUAAGUUUGCACGCCACAUAAAGGUAAUCAAGCUAGUCUCAUGAACAAAAUACUCAGAUCUGGUUGGAAUUCACCCCUUUAGGCCUAUCUGUUUAAUGAUUACUAGGCCCCGUUAGACAGAACUGAAACUCUUUUGUGGGCGAUUGCAAUGUACACCAAGUGGAAGGAAUUGCGACAUUUUAUGAGGGACCGUCUCUACGUGUGAAGGUUAUGCAUGUAGACAAUGCGUGGCUUUUUGUAUUUAGAUCUCUCAGUGCUUUCAUUUUGAAACAUCGUUAUUGAGUUUGAAUUCCUAGUGGUGCUAGGUAUCACAUAGCUCAGUGGCAGAUCCCGGGAAUUAACAAAAAUUAUUAAAACAGAGGGACAGAGGGGGAAGUGUCCCUGUAUGUUCCACUGUCCUCCUUUCUUGGCUUUUAAAUUUUCAGUAACCAUAAAUACAAACUUGCAUUGCAUGAUAGGAUGUUCUAGGAUGCACAUUUUUUAAAGGGGAUGCCGAAAGCCGACGAACUACCAUUUUCACACACUAUGUUGUGUGCAUUUCAAAAUUUCAAAUGAGUUAACGGGGUCGGGAACCUCCCUGGUUACGCCACUGCGCCCGGUGAUACAGCUGAACAUAGCUAGUGCAUGCAGUACCGCAUACAAGUACACAUUGCUGUAUACUGUGGAAAGAGAUAUUUAACUGCCUUUUGACAACCUCUCAAGUAAUGUAACCGUGGACUGUUAGUUUAGGAAAGUUAAUGAUUGAAGUGAAAGAACUCAAAUGUAUUUUAUACAUUGCAAGUCACUAUGACAUUUUUUUCUUAAAAGCAGAUCAUGACAAUUUCACUUGUUUGCGAAAAUAAAUUCAUCAUAUUAUAUUGUUUUGUUUUGUUUUCUUACUAAAUGCUAGAGUAGUCUAAUAAUUAACACAAACUGUAUAUAUUACUCAGCACUGUGCUUUUUCGCUGCAGGUGCAUACGAAGCUGUGAUUGAUUAAAUUACACUCAUUGCAAAGCAA